rnacentral:ncRNA from 1 species
CUACGGACUUGAUUGUAUUGAGCCUUGAUAUGGAAAAGUGGUAACUUCCAAAUUCAGAGAAACCCUGGAAUUAAAAAAGGGGCAAUCCUGAGCCAAAUCCUUGUUUUGAGAAAAUAAGUGGUUCUCGAACUAGAAUCCAAAGAAAAAUGAUAGGUGCAGAGACUCAACGAAAGCUGUUCUAACGAAUCGAGUUAAUUACGUUUUGUUGGUAGUGGAACUCCUCACUAAAUUAUUCGAAGAAGGG